rnacentral:rRNA from 1 species
CCUACGGGAGGCAGCAGUGGGGAAUUUUGGACAAUGGGCGCAAGCCUGAUCCAGCUAUUCCGCGUGUGGGAAGACGGCCUUCGGGUUGUAAACCACUUUUGUAGAGAACGAAAAGUCUAUUGAUAAUACCGAUAGAUGAUGACGGUACUCUAAGAAUAAGCACCGGCUAACUACGUGCCAGCAGCCGCGGUAAUACGUAGGGUGCGAGCGUUAAUCGGAAUUACUGGGCGUAAAGGGUGUGCAGGUGGUUUUGCAAGAUGGAUGUGAAAGCCCCGGGCUUAACCUGGGAAAGCCAUACAUGACUGCAAGACUAGAGUGCGUCAGAGGGGGGUGGAAUUCCAAGUGUAGCAGUGAAAUGCGUAGAUAUUUGGAAGAACACCGAUGGCGAAGGCAGCCCCCUGGGACGCAACUGACGCUCAUACACGAAAGCGUGGGGAGCAAACAGGAUUAGAUACCCCUGUAGUC